rnacentral:rRNA from 1 species
AUUGAACGCUGGCGGCAGGCUUAACACAUGCAAGUCUAGCGGGGGAAGGUAGCUUGCUACCGGACCUAGCGGCGGACGGGUGAGUAAUGCUUAGGAAUCUGCCUAUUAGUGAGGGACAACAUCUCGAAAGGGAUGCUAAUACCGCAUACGUCCUACGGGAGAAAGCAGGGGAUCUUCGGACCUUGCGCUAAUAGAUGAGCCUAAGUCGGAUUAGCUAGUUGGUGGGGUAAAGGCCUACCAAGGCGACGAUCUGUAGCGGGUCUGAGAGGAUGAUCCGCCACACUGGGACUGAGACACGGCCCAGACUCCUACGGGAGGCAGCAGUGGGGAAUAUUGGACAAUGGGGGGAACCCUGAUCCAGCCAUGCCGCGUGUGUGAAGAAGGCCUUAUGGUUGUAAAGCACUUUAAGCGAGGAGGAGGCUACUCUAGUUAAUACCUAGGGAUAGUGGACGUUACUCGCAGAAUAAGCACCGGCUAACUCUGUGCCAGCCGCCGCAGUAA